GCUGGCGGCAGGCCUAACACAUGCAAGUCGAGCGGCAGCACAGAGGAACUUGUGUUCCUUGGGUGGCGAGCGGCGGACGGGUGAGUAAUGCCUGGGAAAUUGCCCUGAUGUGGGGGAUAACCAUUGGAAACGAUGGCUAAUACCGCAUGAUGCCUACGGGCCAAAGAGGGGGACCUUCGGGCCUCUCGCGUCAGGAUAUGCCCAGGUGGGAUUAGCUAGUUGGUGAGGUAAUGGCUCACCAAGGCGACGAUCCCUAGCUGGUCUGAGAGGAUGAUCAGCCACACUGGAACUGAGACACGGUCCAGACUCCUACGGGAGGCAGCAGUGGGGAAUAUUGCACAAUGGGCGCAAGCCUGAUGCAGCCAUGCCGCGUGUAUGAAGAAGGCCUUCGGGUUGUAAAGUACUUUCAGUCGUGAGGAAGGUUGUAGUGUGAAUAGCACUAUGAUUUGACGUUAGCGACAGAAGAAGCACCGGCUAACUCCGUGCCAGCAGCCGCGGUAAUACGGAGGGUGCGAGCGUUAAUCGGAAUUACUGGGCGUAAAGCGCAUGCAGGUGGUUUGUUAAGUCAGAUGUGAAAGCCCUGGGCUCAACCUAGGAGUUGCAUUUGAAACUGACAAGCUAGAGUACUGUAGAGGGGGGUAGAAUUUC
rnacentral:rRNA from 1 species